rnacentral:rRNA from 1 species
UACGAAGGGGGGCUAGCGUUGCUCGGAAUGACUGGGCGUAAAGGGCGCGUAGGCGGUUUGUAUAGUCAGACGUGAAAUUCCUGGGCUUAACCUGGGGGGCUGCGUUUUGAUACGUGCAGACUUUGAGUGAGGAAGAGGGGUCGUGGGAAAUUCCCCAGUGUAGAGGUGAAAAUUCGUAGAUAUUGGGGAAGAACACCGGUGGCGAAGGCGGGCGACCUGGUCCUUUACUGACGCUGAGGCGCGAAAGCGUGGGGGAGCAAAACAGG